rnacentral:rRNA from 1 species
UACGAAGGGGGCUAGCGUUGCUCGGAAUCACUGGGCGUAAAGCGCACGUAGGCGGAUCCUUAAGUCGGGGGUGAAAUCCUGGAGCUCAACUCCAGAACUGCCUUCGAUACUGAGGAUCUCGAGUCCGGGAGAGGUGAGUGGAACUGCGAGUGUAGAGGUGAAAUUCGUAGAUAUUCGCAAGAACACCAGUGGCGAAGGCGGCUCACUGGCCCGGUACUGACGCUGAGGUGCGAAAGCGUCGGGAGCAAACAGG